rnacentral:lncRNA from 1 species
AAACUAGCUUGCUUGCUUCAUGCAGUACAAAAAAGGUAUAAACGUAGUUCUGAAGUACUUACAGAGCUGGGGAAUUCCCUUUACAAAUAUUUCACAUUUUCAAUGGGCUACAUUUUUUUUAUGGGUCAAGGAAGUUGGAUGGAGUAAAAAAAAAUCUUUAUUACAUGUAUUUUACAUUUUCCAAAUUAUACAUUUUGUACAUGGUACUGUUAGGCCUUGGCCCCUCUCUUCUGAGACACAAUGUUGAUAAAUCUCCCAUGUUUCAAGCUUUAAUCUGCAGAGCUGAUAAUACACAAACUAAGAAUGGCAGGUUUAUGUUGAUAUUACAUGUAAGUUGCUAUUAAAACAUGUUAUGAUCCAUAAAAAAUAAAAAGCCUGGGGUGAAAGAUUUUGGAUGACAUACAAAAAUGUUUUAAGUACAUUUCUUGAUUCAUAAAAUUAAUAUACAC